rnacentral:rRNA from 1 species
CCCUUAGAUGUCCUGGGCUGCACGCGCGCUACACUGGAAGUUACGGAUUGAGAUACUACCUUGUCCGAAAUGGUCCGGGUAAUCACCUAAAAGCUUGUCAUAAUUGGAAUGGAUUAUUGUAACUAGUAAUCCUGAACGAGGAAUUCCUAGUAAGUCCCAGUCAACAGCUGGUACUGAUUACGUCCCUGCCCUUUGUACACACCGCCCGUCGCUACUACUGAUUGGACGUUUAAGCAAGAUUUUUAAACACUGACAGUGUGUAGUCCACGCUAUACUACAGUGAGAAGAAGAAGAUCGAGCUUACUUGUCUAGAGGAAGUAAAAGUCGUAACA